GGGAACGCCCCACCCCGUUCCUUCCCUGCCCCCCACCGGGAACGGGGAGCGGUGGGUGAACAGGUUUCAAACAGGCGUUGGUAUCCUCUCCCGCCUACGAUCCCACAUGCUAGUGGCAUUGAGAAGGGAACUCUGAGAGAGACCGGAAACAAGUGAAACAGAACUGCCAGGAAAUGGCUCAGCACAAAAAGAUCCAGCAAGAGCAAAGGACAUUGAAGGACGCUACCUUCCUCCAGCUCGGACCAGAUUUCUCCUAUGACAUUCUCCACCAAAAAGGUCCGACUCUGCCGAUUACGCCGUAUGUGUUCCUUAGCUAGUGGCCGACAGAAAGAAAAUGACGACGGGCCUGCCUUCCAGGGGGCCAUGGGUGACAGGUGGGUGUUUACCCUCAGGGCCUCCACCUGGGAACAGAACGUGGAGCACAGACAGCACCCAGGGCUGCGGUGCCCGGCGCCACCCGGACAGCACUCCCAUCCGCGCCCAUGCCCACGUGGGUGCUUUGACCCUGACCUACUGUGUCUGUAAACCCUAUAGCCCUGGACAGACCCACAGAGCCCUGGAUACUGGGGAACCAAGUUCUGUGACCAAGACUGUGAUGAGCUUGCAUGCAGGAUGGAAGGCAGAUGAUCUGUCCCCAGUUACAAUGGGCCACACACGGCCUGACCAAGUCGGAGCCAACCCCAAUCUCUUGUGGCCUUGGAAACAAAUGGGUGCCCGCCGGAGCUCAGCUAGACAGCAUUUGAUUUUGCUGUAUGGGAAUCUGACCUGCUCUCUCCAGAGCUCUAAGAGGGCUAUCUGCCUGCUGGGAGUGAUGUAUGAACAGCAACUCCAGGAGGAAGCCACUCGUGGAAUCCCAUGUAGUCCCUUUUCUACAGUGUGGGUUGAAAUUCAGCCAGGAGGUAUCUUAUUCAAAGCCUUUACCCUUUAAUAGUUUCUAGUAUACAUGUUCUAUCACAUAUAAUAAUAAAUAUCCCUUUAACAAUCCAGUCCCCAAGUGCCCAUCUCUGGCUUCCAUCUACAAACAUUUGGGACCUUGACCUGCAGCAGGCAGAAUGCUCUGUGACAUCUGAUGUGUCCCAGGCACAGCCCAUCUGGGCCUGGAGAAGGGUCAGCCCAGGAGGCCCAGGGACCACCUUCUGAGGAUGCUCAGCUAAACAAGCUUGACCUGGCUUGACCUCUAACCAGGCCCUGCCCUCCUCCCAUGCUCUUGAGCUGGAGCAGGUCUCAUGUCUCACUUGCUUCUGGGAGCUACGCAGGUGCACGGGGUUUCCUUGGUCACCAGCACAAGGGAAGACAGAAGCACACUUCACUCCUGCCACCAGUGUGCUUGCUGGGGUUUUUUUGCCACUUCUUGGAGAAUCUUGGGAUGCUGCCUUCGUGCCCCUUCUUUGGGAGGAGUCCCCCAUCCAAGUUCUAUACCAGACCCUUGAUGUUCAGUGAUUCUUCCUGUAGACCAGGUACAGAAGGUCUUCUAAUGUCACAUACACACAACCUCUCACCGAAGGAGCCAGCCUAGAGUCCUAGGCAGAGGGGCUUAGGAGGCCUGAUCAUUGGGCAAGGAGGGGAGAGGGAUUCAGUCUGGCAUAUUAGGAAUGGAAAGGACCCUCAGGGCCCUUUGUCUCACUCCUUCACUUUAUGUAGGAAGACACCAAGGCCCAGAGAGGUAGGGUGACCCACUGUCCCGGUUUGCCCAGGAUAGAGGGAUUUCCUGGGAUGUAAGCCAUUCAGUGCCAAAACCAGCACAGUCUUGUUCAAGGUACCCAACCACUAUGGGGCAAAGCUCAGGUCUCUCUCAUUCACUCCCGGCUCUCCUGCUCUUAGCAACUCCAGUCGCUGGGGCUGGGCCCAGGCUGUGGCAAACAAGUUUCAUCGCUCCUCUACCCACAUCUUCCCUGAAGCUCUGAGCGGGAACUCUGACAUACACGGGGAAUCUUUACAUGGAAAAUCCAAUCAAGAAGUCCAGGGGAGUGGAGAGCCUUGAGUAAAAUUCUGUGACUCGCGGGUGUCCAAGUGCCUGGUGUGUGACUGCCAAUCCAGCAAAACAGUCACACACACACACCCCGCCGGGCGCUCCCACAUCCUGAGCUGGCUGUGUAAGAAACACUCAAGCUGACCAGAGUCUGCCCCCGACAGCUUCGUCUGUCCCUCCCCAGCUGGGCUGGCCUGGCCCGAAGCCAAAGCUUUACUGUUUCUAAUUUCCAUAGGAGGUUCCCGCUGUCCCAGGAGAGGAUGCAAGUGAGGAGUGGGGGUGAGGAGGGCCCCACUCCAGAGGGGAGGAGAAGGCAAAGUCAGAGAGGGGCCCGGCAGUGUCUGGGAGGCCCGGGACAAAGCACCAGCAAGAGCGCAGGGCCGUGUCCCACCAGCAAACUCCCACGGAGCCCACAGAGCAGAGCUGACCUCCCGAAGAGAAGUCCCAGAGCUGCUGUGGACUCCAAGAAAAGGAGGAAAUGCUAAAAAGUGGCCCAGACUCCCCAAACCCAGACGUCUCUAUGCCUUGGCUGGAGGACCCGGUGCCCGGAAGUGCCGCCUUUGCUUCUGCAUGAACACUUGCGGUCACCCUCGACAGGAGCCCUCUGCCUGGCAGCCGUCAGGAGACCCGUGGGGCCAUUUGCCUGGGAUCAGGCCAGAGGCAACUGGAGCAGAAGAACAUUCUCUCCGCCUUUACUACUUCUGCCUUCGGAGCUGGCACCUCACAGCUCCUAUUCCGAUGUGAGCUCUCCCUCCUCUGGGCCCCUGCGGGGCACCUAACAUGUUCUGUCUCCAACUUCACAGACAGUGCAGACAUGUGUGGCCUCCCCUUGCAAGACGGUAUGUUUUCUAGGUGCAGCCAUUGGGCCUCUUUGCCCCUAGCACGUAGGAGGUGCUCGGGAGACAGCGGCUGAGCGAGCGAGCCCGGCAUUCCUCCGGCGGCCUUAUCCUGCAGUUUCCUGGCCCGUGUCCCUGCUGAACUGAACGCUAGCAUUCCGCAGAUGUGGCCUGGGAAUUCUACAAAGAGAGAGUGUCUGAACCACGAGCAUGCUACCCUAUUUGACACACACGCACACACAAGAAUCUGAGCAGCAGGAGAACCAUCGUAGUAGCUUUUUGGAGCCUUCCUCUGUGAUCGCAGCUCCAGGCAGGAGAAGCAGGUGAGAAAACCACACUCAGGGAGCCCGAGGAAGUGAGGAAGUGGUGUUUACCCGACUGCUCUGCUCCUUAGCCCUGCAGCCAGCCAGGAAGAUCUGCCAAGGGACUGUGUCCACAGCUGAGAACAAAUGGCCAGGCCAGUUAAGUGCUCUGCUGGCCGGGCGUCAGCCUGCAAAGGGGCCACAGCUGCGCCACUUCUGGGGUUGUGCAGCGUUUCCUGGUGGUCAUUUUUCACUGCAGCUUGUUCGGAAAGGGAGGCAAAUGCUAGCUGCGUCUCCAUGUGAGAUGAGAUCAUCAUACAUAUGGGAGCAUCAUGGAUUUAACAGGUUUCUGGAACCUACCAGAGUUGCACAUUUUAGGCAAAAUGCCUUUAGAAAUAAACUGCACUAUGUCCUUCCUACCCACGAUUCCCCCACCCCAGACUCAGUGGAACUAUCUUCCAGUGCUAGGACUUCUCUGAAGACCUUAGAAGAGGGAUCAGGUGUUCUUUCUGCUACCAUCUUUCCACUGAACGCUCUUAAAGGGCCUGAAGGUGCCCUGAGUCUGUGAAUUGUAAAAGAUAGAGAUUUAACCCCUUUCUUCAACAGCACUUGGCACAAGAUGAGUUUGGGGAGUUUCACAGGGGAAACUGUCUACCCUGUCUAUCCUUCUGUCUACCCUGCUUUGCAGCCCUUGUGGUCAGCGAGUCAUAGACUGUCUGAGCGGAGGCCCCAGAACUCCAGACCCGCUCCUCAUGACGGAAGAUGCCACCCAGAGCAUCAGCUCCCAGCCCGGCUUCCAAGCCUCUUUCACCUCCACCUGGCAGGUGGGAGGCUGAAUGUCAGCCCCCACGUGACUAUGCCACAAACUUGUGCUCAGGAGGCCUCUGCUAAGCCUGGGAGGAGGGCUCAGUUUUUCCCAUGCAAACAGAGUGGAUGUGACCAGUUUCUCAACUGCCCCGAUGAUGUAAGACCACCCAUUCUACCUCAUUCUUCCCGCUCUUCUCCCUGAAGUCAGCCAAUGGGACGCACUUUGGGUGGCAGGGUCGGUGGGCAGCCACCACCUUGUAGAAGCAAACAAAUACCCACCUGAUCAAACGCCUUUUACACAGAUGGAUGCCUGGUGAGCAUGCUCAGAGCUACUGGGCUGAGAGCUAUAUUUUGUGGUCAGGUACUGUAUUGGUCAGGGUUCCCCAAGAAACAGAACCAAUAGAGAUCUCUCCCUUCCUCUUUCUUUCUUUCUU